AUUGAACGCUGGCGGCAUGCCUUACACAUGCAAGUCGAACGGCAGCACGGGAGCUUGCUCCUGGUGGCGAGUGGCGAACGGGUGAGUAAUACAUCGGAACGUACCCUGAAGUGGGGGAUAACGUAGCGAAAGUUACGCUAAUACCGCAUAUUCUGUGAGCAGGAAAGAGGGGGAUCGCAAGACCUCUUGCUUUAGGAGCGGCCGAUGUCGGAUUAGCUAGUUGGUGAGGUAAAGGCUCACCAAGGCGACGAUCCGUAGCGGGUCUGAGAGGAUGAUCCGCCACACUGGGACAGAGACACGGCCCAGACUCCUAUGGGAGGCAGCAGUGGGGAAUUUUGGACAAUGGGCGGCAAGCCUGAUCCAGCCAUGCCGCGUGAGUGAAGAAGGCCUCGGUGU
rnacentral:rRNA from 1 species